rnacentral:siRNA from 1 species
ACGAGGACAGUGUGGACGACGUGG